rnacentral:rRNA from 1 species
UACGUAGGGUGCGAGCGUUAAUCGGAAUCACUGGGCGUAAAGGGCGUGUAGGCGGGAAGGAAAGUCAGAUGUGAAAUCCCUGGGCUCAACCCAGGAACUGCAUUUGAAACUCCCUUUCUUGAGUGUCGGAGAGGAAAGUGGAAUUCCUGGUGUAGAGGUGAAAUUCGUAGAUAUCAGGAGGAACACCGGUGGCGAAGGCGGCUUUCUGGACGACAGCUGACGCUGAGACGCGAAAGCGUGGGGAGCAAACAGG